GUUUCCUACGGGAGGCAGCAGUGGGGAAUAUUGGACAAUGGGGGGAACCCUGAUCCAGCGACGCCGCGUGAGUGAAGAAGUAUUUCGGUAUGUAAAGCUCUAUCAGCAGGGAAGAAAGAAAUUACGGUACCUGACUAAGAAGCCCCGGCUAACUACGUGCCAGCAGCCGCGGUAAUACGUAGGGGGCAAGCGUUAUCCGGAUUUACUGGGUGUAAAGGGAGCGUAGACGGCGAUGCAAGUCUGAAGCGAAAGGCGGGGCCCAACCCCCGGAUUGCUUUUGAACCUGU
rnacentral:rRNA from 1 species